GAUCAUUACAGAGAUCAUGCCCUCUACGGGUAGACCUCCCACCCUGUGUUAUUUACUUUGUUGUUUUGGCAGGCCGCCUUCGGGCCCUUAGCUUCGGCUGAGGUGCGCCUGUCAAGCAACUCAAACUCUGAAAUUUAGUGUUGUCUGAGUCUUUAAAUAAUAAAGUUAAAACUUUCAACAACGGAUCUCUUGGUUCUGGCAUCGAUGAAGAACGCAGCGAAAUGCGAUAAGUAAUGUGAAUUGCAGAAUUCAGUGAAUCAUCGAAUCUUUGAACGCACAUUGCGCCCUUUGGCAUUCCGAGGGGCAUGCCCGUUCGAGCGUCAUUUCACCACUCAAGCAUUGCUUGGUAUUGGGCGUCGCGUUCGUCGCGCGCCUCAAAAUCUCCUGGCCCUGUGGCCCGGCCCUAAGCGUUGUGGCACUUUUCAGUUCCGCUCUAGGCGUCUGGGUGGCGGUUGGCCGUUAAACCAUACUACAAGGUUGACCUCGGAUCGGGUAGGGAUACCCGCUGAACUUAAGCAUAUCAAUAAGCGGAGGAAAAGAAACCAACUGGGAUUGCCCUAGUAACGGCGAGUGAAGCGGCAACAGCUCAAAUUUGAAAUCGGCCCACCGGUCGAGUUGUAAUUUGCAGAGGAUGCUUCUGGGCAGCGGCCGGUCUAAGUUCCUUGGAGCAGGACGUCACAGAGGGUGAGAAUCCCGUAUGUGACCGGCGCGCACCCUCUACGUAGCUCCUUCGACGAGUCGAGUUGUUUGGGAAUGCAGCUCUAAAUGGGAGGUAAAUUUCUUCUAAAGCUAAAUACCGGCCAGAGACCGAUAGCGCACAAGUAGAGUGAUCGAAAGAUGAAAAGCACUUUGGAAAGAGAGUUAAAAAGCACGUGAAAUUGUUGAAAGGGAAGCGCUUGCCACCAGACUUGACGGCGGGGUUCCGCCGGUCUUUUGACCGGUCCACUCCCCGCCGGCAGGCCAACAUCGUCUGGGGCCGCCGGAUAAGACGUCGGGAAUGUAGCUCCUCGGAGUGUUAUAGCCCGUCGUGAUGCGGCGCGCCCCGGGCGAGGUCCGCGCU
rnacentral:rRNA from 1 species